rnacentral:rRNA from 1 species
UUGAACCCAUAAGAGGUCCAGCCUGCCCAGUGACUCUGUUCAACGGCCGCGGUAUCCUAACCGUGCGAAGGUAGCGUAAUCACUUGUCUUCUAAAUAAAGACUAGUAUGAAAGGCAUCACGAGAGCUAAGCUGUCUCCCCCCUCUAAUCAGUGAACCUAAUCUCCCCGUGAAGAAGCGAGAAUCCACAUAUAAGACGAGAAGACCCUAUGGAGCUUAAAACAAUAUAAUACCUGCUUACCCCCCCCCUCCCAUUCAGAUUUUUUACCUCGGCACACUAAUUAUAAGUUUUUGGUUGGGGUGACCGCGGAGAAAAACUAACCCUCCGUAAUGAAAGGAAUUUUUCCCCAAACAAUAAGUUACAACUUUACAUUUCAAUAAAUUGACAUCCAUUGACCCAAUAUUUGAUCAACGAACCAAGUUACCCUAGGGAUAACAGCGCAAUCCACUUUGAGAGCCCCUAUCGACAAGUGGGCUUACGACCUCGAUGUUGGAUCGGGGUAUCCUGGUGGUGCAGCAGCUACUAAAGGCUC